GUUAUAGUAACCGGGUAUAAAGUGCAGGUGCUGGCACCGACCAGGUCAGUGGUCAUCAUGGCGGUGUUCGAGCUGAUCAAACCGGCUCCGUUGACGGAGAAAGUGCAGUCCCGCCAGGGGAAUAUAUAUCUGUACCGGGCCAUGUGGCUGAUCGGAUGGAUACCGCCGAAGGAGGGAAUCCUGCGCUACGUGUAUCUCUUCUGGACCUGCGUGCCCUUCGCCUUCGGGGUGUUCUACCUGCCCGUGGGCUUCAUCAUCAGCUACGUGCAGGAGUUCAAGAACUUCACGCCCGGUGAGUUCCUCACCUCGCUGCAGGUGUGCAUCAAUGUGUACGGCGCCUCGGUGAAGUCAACCAUCACCUACCUCUUCCUCUGGCGACUGCGCAAGACGGAGAUCCUGCUGGACUCCCUGGACAAGAGGCUGGCGAACGACAACGAUCGCGAGAGGAUCCACAACAUGGUGGCGCGCUGCAACUACGCCUUUCUGAUCUACAGCUUCAUAUACUGCGGAUACGCUGGUUCCACUUUCCUGUCCUACGCCCUCAGUGGUCGUCCUCCGUGGUCCGUCUACAAUCCCUUCAUCGACUGGCGCGAUGGCAUGGGCAGCCUGUGGAUCCAGGCCAUAUUCGAGUACAUCACCAUGUCCUUCGCCGUGCUGCAGGACCAGCUAUCCGACACGUAUCCCCUGAUGUUCACCAUUAUGUUCCGCGCCCACAUGGAGGUCCUCAAGGAUCACGUGCGGAGCCUGCGCAUGGAUCCCGAGCGCAGCGAGGCAGACAACUACCAGGAUCUGGUGAACUGCGUGCUGGACCACAAGACUAUACUGAAAUGCUGUGACAUGAUUCGCCCCAUGAUAUCCCGCACCAUCUUCGUGCAGUUCGCGCUGAUUGGUUCGGUUUUGGGUCUGACCCUGGUGAACGUGUUCUUCUUCUCGAACUUCUGGAAGGGCGUGGCCUCGCUCCUGUUCGUCAUCACCAUCCUGCUGCAGACCUUCCCCUUCUGCUACACCUGCAACAUGCUGAUCGACGAUGCCCAGGACCUGUCCAACGAGAUUUUCCAGUCCAACUGGGUGGACGCGGAGCCGCGCUACAAGGCCACGCUGGUGCUCUUCAUGCACCAUGUCCAGCAGCCGAUAAUCUUCAUUGCCGGAGGCAUCUUUCCCAUCUCCAUGAAUAGCAACAUAAGCGUGGCCAAGUUCGCCUUCAGCAUCAUUACAAUAGUGCGACAAAUGAAUCUGGCCGAGCAGUUCCAGUAAAAUUAGCUCACAAAAAUGAUUCCGAAUUGCCCUGCACCCAUGAGCCCCGAAAAAAGAGCCCCCCCAGCAAUUCUUUACGAGCGUGUUUUGCAUAAAAUGUGUAUAUGUUGUGGCUUAUCUGGCAAGAUUUCGGCUGAUUUAGUUGCUAAAUGGUAAUGGCCAGGCCAAAGGAUGCGAGAGUCAGACUGAAUUCGCAAAUUGCGUUAGCAGACGGAAAUUACAACAGCCAGACGAGUCGACGAUUGUAACAACAAGCGUCUGGGAAAUGGGCCCAAAGCUUGGAAAAUAUACGCCACGGAGGGAUGGAGCAACCACAGGAACUGAUGUUGGCACAGCAUAAAGCAAAUAUGAAACAUCAUGGGCAUUAUACACACUCAAUCAAUCGAUGACUUUUGAUGCCUGUCUAAACACUUGCAGCUGCAUCUAUUUGGCCACCAUCUACAAGCGCCAUGAGCAAUUAGCCUAAAUUACUGUAUUAAGUGCACUCAAAUCGACAUUAUUAUUAAUCAUUUUCUGAAUUUAACAGCCAAUAAAGUGAUUUCACUGCA
rnacentral:misc_RNA from 1 species